GGUAACGAACAACCUCCUGCUUCCAAUUGCUAUCUGCACAAACAGAAUGUCCAAGAAAUAGUCUAUUUUAGCCAAGAAAUAGUCUAUUUUCCUCUAUAAAUCCAAAAUGUCAUUUUUCCUUUUUGACAUGUACAAACAAGAUUUGAUGCAUUACUUAUUGAGACUGUUCUAUUUAUUGUUUCCAUUCUUUGUCCUAAGUACUGGCAACCAACUAGUUGAUGAAUGUGUCUUCAUAUUUACUGCACUGACAUGAGAGAGGGAGACUGAUAUUAAUCUUGUCAUCCAACUCCCAAUCAGGAAGCACUUACUUCCCUAAAUAUCACACAAAUUCCUUUAAGCCUCUUCCGUUGUCACAUCUGUUAACUUAUAAGUUGUUGUGCUAUAGUUGCCUGAUCUCCAAAUAUAUAUGUGUAAAGCUAGAAUAUAUUUAUAUUUUUUGCUUCUUUGUAAGCCUCUGGACACAUUAUCGUUAUCUUGUCUCCACAAGCCCAACUGUAGCUGCUGUGACAGACUGAAGGCCAACAUCUCCCCUGAUUUUAGAAUUGGACUAGACAAGGCUGCACCAAAAUUGAACCAGAUGGAUUUUACAGGGAAACAAAGAAUAAUUUGUUCACAUGACUGGAAGACAACAACAAAUUUAUUACGGUAUUUCCCUGCAGAGUAGUAGCUCAUUACUAAUUAAGUACUGGUGCAGUAAAAGUAAACUAAGAUAAAAAAAAA